rnacentral:rRNA from 1 species
CCUACGGGUGGCAGCAGUGAGGAAUAUUGGUCAAUGGGCGCGAGCCUGAACCAGCCAAGUAGCGUGAAGGAUGACUGCCCUACGGGUUGUAAACUUCUUUUAUAAAGGAAUACAGUGAGGCACGUGUGCCUUUUUUUAUGUACUUUAUGAAUAAUGAUCGGCUAACUCCGUGCCAGCAACCGCGGUAAUACGGGGGAUCCGAGCGUUAUCCGGAUUUAUUGGGUUUAAAGGGAGCGUAGAUGGGUUUUUAAGUCAGUUGUGAAAGUUUUCGGCUUAACCGUAAAAUUUCAAUUGAUAAUGGCAGCCUUGAGUACAGUUGAGGUAGGCGGAAUUCGUGGUGUAGCGGUGAAAUGCUUAGAUAUCACGAAGAACUCCGAUUGCGAAGGCAGCUUACUAAACUGCCACUGACAUUGAUGCUCGAAAGUGUGGGUAUCAAACAGGAUUAGAUACCCCUGUAGUC